rnacentral:rRNA from 1 species
CCCUACGGGGGGCAGCAGUAGGGAAUUUUCGGCAAUGGGGGGAACCCUGACCGAGCAACGCCGCGUGAACGAAGAAGUUAUUCGUAAUGUAAAGUUCUUUUAUCAGGGAAGAAAGAGGAAUUUGACGGUACCUGAGGAAUAAGCUCCGGCUAACUACGUGCCAGCAGCCGCGGUAAUACGUAGGGAGCGAGCGUUAUCCGGAAUUACUGGGUGUAAAGGGCGCGUAGGCGGGAUGGCAAGUCAGAUGUGAAAUCCGGGGGCUCAACCCCUGAACUGCAUUUGAAACUGUCGUUCUUGAGUACUGG